rnacentral:tRNA from 1 species
GCGGACGUAGCCAAAUUGGCAGAGGCGGCAGGUUUAGGGCCUGCUGGGGAAACCCGUGUGGGUUCGACUCCCACCGUCCGCACAA